rnacentral:rRNA from 1 species
AACGAACGCUGGCGGCGUGGAUAAGACAUGCAAGUCGAACGGGACAGACCGAGUAGCAAUAUUUGGAAUGUUCAGUGGCGAACGGGUGCGUAACACGUGGAUAACAUUCCGGAAAGCGGGGAAUAGACCAGGGAAACUUGGAUUAAUACCGCAUGUUGCAGCAAGGCUAAAGACGGGGACCGCAAGGCCUAUCACUUUCCGAUUGGUCCGCGGCCUAUCAGCUAGUUGGCGGGGUAAUGGCCCACCAAGGGUACGACGGGUAGCUGGUCUUAGAGGACGACCAGCCACACUGGAACUGAGACACGGUCCAGACACCUACGGGUGGCAGCAGUCGAGAAUCUUUCACAAUGGGGGCAACCCUGAUGGAGCGACGCCGCGUGGAGGAUAAGGUCUUCGGAUUGUAAACUCCUGUCAUGCGAGAACAAGGUACUCAGGCUAAUAACCUGAUUGUUUGAUGGUACCGCAAGAGGAAGAGACGGCUAACUCUGUGCGAGCAGCCGCCGUAAAAC